rnacentral:rRNA from 1 species
CCAGACUCCUACGGGAGGCAGCAGUGAGGAAUAUUGGUCAAUGGUCGGGAGACUGAACCAGCCAAGCCGCGUGAGGGAGGAAGGUACAGAGUAUCGUAAACCUCUUUUGUCAGGGAACAAAGGCGGGGACGUGUCCCCGGAUGAGUGUACCUGAAGAAAAAGCAUCGGCUAACUCCGUGCCAGCAGCCGCGGUAAUACGGAGGAUGCGAGCGUUAUCCGGAUUUAUUGGGUUUAAAGGGUGCGUAGGCGGGCUGUUAAGUCAGCGGUCAAAUGUCGGGGCUCAACCCCGGCCUGCCGUUGAAACUGGCAGUCUCGAGUUGGAGAGAAGUAUGCGGAAUGCGCGGUGUAGCGGUGAAAUGCAUAGAUAUCACGCAGAACUCCGAUUGCGAAGGCAGCGUACCGGCGCCCAACUGACGCUGAAGCACGAAGGCGUGGGUAUCGAACAGGAUUAGAUACCCCCGUACU